GAUGAACGCUGGCGGCGUGCCUAAUACAUGCAAGUCGAGCGGACGGACGAGAAGCUUGCUUCUCUGAUGUUAGCGGCGGACGGGUGAGUAACACGUGGAUAACCUACCUAUAAGACUGGGAUAACUUCGGGAAACCGGAGCUAAUACCGGAUGAUAUUUUGAACCGCAUGGAUCAAAAGUGAAAGACGGUCUUGCUGUCACUUAUAGAUGGAUCCGCGCUGCAUUAGCUAGUUGGUAAGGUAACGGCUUACCAAGGCAACGAUGCAUAGCCGACCUGAGAGGGUGAUCGGCCACACUGGAACUGAGACACGGUCCAGACUCCUACGGGAGGCAGCAGUAGGGAAUCUUCCGCAAUGGGCGAAAGCCUGACGGAGCAACGCCGCGUGAGUGAUGAAGGUCUUCGGAUCGUAAAACUCUGUUAUUAGGGAAGAACAUAUGUGUAAGUAACUGUGCACAUCUUGACGGUACCUAAUCAGAAAGCCACGGCUAACUACGUG
rnacentral:rRNA from 1 species